rnacentral:rRNA from 1 species
CAGAGGGGGCAAGCGUUGUUCGGAAUUACUGGGCGUAAAGGGCGCGUAGGCGGCCUGCUAAGUCGAACGUGAAAUCCCUGGGCUCAACCCAGGAACUGCGUCCGAUACUGGUUGGCUUGGAUCCGGGAGAGGGAUGCGGAAUUCCAGGUGUAGCGGUGAAAUGCGUAGAUAUCUGGAGGAACACCGGUGGCGAAGGCGGCAUCCUGGACCGGCAUUGACGCUGAGGCGCGAAAGCCAGGGGAGCAAACGGGAUUAGAUACCCCGGUAGUCCUGGCCCUAAACGAUGAAUGCUUGGUGUGGCGGGUAUCGAUCCCUGCCGUGCCGAAGCUAACGCAUUAAGCAUUCCGCCUGGGGAGUACGGUCGCAAGGCUG